GAUGAACGCUGGCGGCGUGCUUAACACAUGCAAGUCGAACGAAGCGCUUAAACGGAUUUCUUCGGAAUGAAGUUUUUGCGACUGAGUGGCGGACGGGUGAGUAACGCGUGGGUAACCUGCCUCAUACAGGGGGAUAACAGUUAGAAAUGACUGCUAAUACCGCAUAAGCGCACAGUGCUGCAUGGCACAGUGUGAAAAACUCCGGUGGUAUGAGAUGGACCCGCGUCUGAUUAGCUAGUUGGUGGGGUAACGGCCUACCAAGGCGACGAUCAGUAGCCGACCUGAGAGGGUGAUCGGCCACAUUGGAACUGAGACACGGUCCAA
rnacentral:rRNA from 1 species